AUGCUUGGCUGGGUCCCUCUCACCCUAAUUCCUGGGAUCUGGGGACAAAACUGGGAAAAGGAUGAAGAUGUGGGGAAAUGCUUGGCUGGGUCCUUCUCCAUCCAUUUUCUGGGAUUUGGGGACAAAGCCAGGAAAUGGAUGAGGAUGUGUGGGGAAAUGCUUGGCUGGUUCUCUCUCAGUCUCUUCCCUGGGAAUUGGGGACAAAACUGGGAAAAGGAUGAGGAUAUAGGGAAACGCUCGGCUGGGUCCUUCUCCAUCCAUUUUCUGGGAUUUGGGGCAAUUUGUGGACAAAGCCAGGAAAAGGAUGAGGAUGUGGGGAAAUGCUUGGCUGGGUGCUCUCCAUCUGGAAAGAGGAGAUUUCUCCAUCUCAUUUCUGGGAUUUGGGGACAAAGCUGGGAAAGGGAUGAGGAUGUGGGGAAAUGCUUGGCUGGGUCCCUCUCCAUCCAUUUUCUGGGAUUUGGGGCAAAGCUGGGAAAUGGAUGAGGAUGUGGGGAAGAUCUUGGCUGGGUGCUCUCCAUCUGAUUUCUGGGAUUUGGGGACAAAGCUGGGACAGGGAUGGGACAGCUAUCCUGCUAUUCCAACUCUAUCCAUGCUCUUGGACAGGGAAUGGGAAUUCCCUGGGGCAGGGCAGCUCAGCUUCAUCCCA
ensembl:lncRNA